rnacentral:rRNA from 1 species
UUGCAAGUCGAACGAGAAAGGGGAGCAAUCCCUGAGUACAGUGGCGCACGGGUGAGUAACACGUGACUAAUCUACCCUCGAGCGGGGAAUAACCAAGGGAAACCUUGGCUAAUACCGCAUAAUACCUACGGGUCAAAGGAGCAAUCCACUUGAGGAGGAGGUCGCGGCCGAUUAGCUAGUUGGCGGGGUAAUGGCCCACCAAGGCAUUGAUCGGUAUCCGGCCUGAGAGGGCGCACGGACACACUGGAACUGAAACACGGUCCAGACUCCUACGGGAGGCAGCAGUGGGGAAUUUUGCGCAAUGGGGGAAACCCUGACGCAGCAACGCCGCGUGGAGGAUGAAGUCCCUUGGGACGUAAACUCCUUUCGAUCGGGACGAUAAUGACGGUACCGGAAGAAGAAGCCCCGGCUA